UACAGAGGGGGCUAGCGUUAUUCGGAAUUAUUGGGCGUAAAGGGCGCGUAGGCGGCCAUGCGUGUCUUCCGUGAAAUCCCUCGGCUUAACUGAGGACGUGCGGAAGAAACUGCAAGGCUCGAGUCCGGGAGAGGGGGGUGGAAUUCCCAGUGUAGCGGUGAAAUGCGUAGAUAUUGGGAGGAACACCGGUGGCGAAGGCGGCCCCCUGGACCGGUACUGACGCUGAGGCGCGAAAGCUCGGGGAGCGAACGGG
rnacentral:rRNA from 1 species